AAACCAACAGGGAUUGCCCCAGUAGCGGCGAGCGAAGCGGCAAAAGCUCCUCUUUGGAAUCGCUGCGGCGAGUUGUGGAGAGCGCGUGCCCCGGCGCCAGGCCUGUCCAAGUGUCUUGGAACAGAACAUCGCAGAGGGUGAGAAUCCCGUGGGAUGGGCUGAGAGGUGCUGUGCGGGGCGCGUGCGGCGAGUCGAGUUGUUUGGGAAUGCAGCUCCAAGUGGGUGGUAAACUCCAUCUAAGGCUAAAUACCGGCGAGAGACCGAUAGCGAACAAGUACAGUGAUGGAAAGAUGAAAAGCACUUUGAAAAGAGAGUGAAACAGCACGUGAAAUUGUUGAAAGGGAAGGGCUUGCGACCAGACACCGAAAGGGGCCAGCGUCGGGGCUGCGCGCGCGAAAAGCGCACGAGAAUGUGGCUGCUUCGGCAGUGUUACAGCUUGUGCGGGUGGCGCGCGCGGCCCCGAGGACCGCGCAGCAAUGCAAGGACGCUGGCAUAAUGGUCGCCAGCCGC
rnacentral:rRNA from 1 species